UGGCUCAGAGAGUAAAGCAUCCGCUUGCAAUGUGGAAGACCAGGGUUCAAUCCCUG
rnacentral:tRNA from 1 species